rnacentral:rRNA from 1 species
GAUGAACGCUGGCGGCGUGCCUAAUACAUGCAAGUAGAACGCUGAAGGAAGGAGCUUGCUCUUUCCGGAUGAGUUGCGAACGGGUGAGUAACGCGUAGGUAACCUGCCUGGUAGCGGGGGAUAACUAUUGGAAACGAUAGCUAAUACCGCAUAACAGUAGAUAUUGCAUGAUAUCUGCUUGAAAGGUGCAAAUGCAUCACUACCAGAUGGACCUGCGUUGUAUUAGCUAGUUGGUGAGGUAACGGCUCACCAAGGCGACGAUACAUAGCCGACCUGAGAGGGUGAUCGGCCACACUGGGACUGAGACACGGCCCAGACUCCUACGGGAGGCAGCAGUAGGGAAUCUUCGGCAAUGGACGGAAGUCUGACCGAGCAACGCCGCGUGAGUGAAGAAGGUUUUCGGAUCGUAAAGCUCUGUUGUAAGAGAAGAACGAGUGUGAGAGUGGAAAGUUCACACUGUGACGGUAUCUUACCAGAAAGGGACGGCUAACUACGUGCCAGCAGCCGCGGUAAUACGUAGGUCCCGAGCGUUAUCCGGAUUUAUUGGGCGUAAAGCGAGCGCAGGCGGUUAGAUAAGUCUGAAGUUAAAGGCUGUGGCUUAACCAUAGUACGCUUUGGAAACUGUUUAACUUGAGUGCAAGAGGGGAGAGUGGAAUUCCAUGUGUAGCGGUGAAAUGCGUAGAUAUAUGGAGGAACACCGGUGGCGAAAGCGGCUCUCUGGCUUGUAACUGACGCUGAGGCUCGAAAGCGUGGGGAGCAAACAGG